CAGGUGAGCCUUCCCACUCGACUACCCCUUCCAAGGACCGUGGCCUCGGUGGCCCAAGUCCGCCAAGCAGCCCCGAGCAAGAGCAACAGGAGGCCACUCACCACUACGUGCGCACCGGGCAGCGCGAGGGGCUUGGGGCUGAUGAGCGGCGACACCAUGUAGAGGAGCAGCACGAAGGCCACGAGGCCGGCGGCCGCCAGCAGCAGCAUCUCUCGUCCAAACGACCACAGGCAGAUCACGCGCACUAGCUCACGGAGUGUUUGGGUUUGCGGGCGAGGGCGGGACGGCGGCGAGGGGAAGAGGAGGAGCCGGGGCGGGGCGGCCUCCGCCGUCGGACUGGCUUUUGGGUCCGCGCCCCCCAGCGUCGGGACUCGGCUGCGCAGGCUCCGUAUGGGUACCGUGGGCCCUCCCGCCAACGUCGCGGGAGGUUUGCAAACGGCGGCUUUCGGAUCUCCGGAUCUUGUCUCGUGCAAAGAUUCCCGUGAUUCCACUCUGAAAUCCGAGAUUCCAGUUCGUAUAUUCCUGGAGCACUGAGAAAAUGGUCAGGGUUUACUUUCGCUGUGCGCCUUGACUUGGGGUUGUGCUGACUGAGGACAGUGUUCACCUUGUUACCAAGGCAGAUACAAUCGAAAACAAGCCGUGGUGGCAGAGAUUUAAUUCGCGUACCGGAACAUACGAUUCACCGAUUUAACGUGGUUUUAGUAUAGAGAGUGUCUAACUAUGGCCACAAUCAAUUUGUCGACCACCACAGAACUCCUGUAAUCAUUGGCAGUUACACCCACCCCAUUUUCUCUUAAAUCGUGCCCAGUCAUAGGCAAUCACAGAGCUGUCUCUGGAUUCGCCUAUUAAUACAAAUGGAGUUCUAAUAAUAUGCCAUUUGUUGUGCUGGCUUCUUUGACUUAGCAUAAAGCUUUAAAGUUUCUUCUUUAGUAUGCCUAACAGAAUUUAAUUUCUUUUUCUGCCGGUAGUAUCCUACUGUAGGCUGGAUCACAUUUAUUUCAUUCAUCACCUUUUGCUCACCACCCCUCCUCCCAAAACAAACGUUCGAACAACCCUGCUCCUGGGCUCAACAUGUCGGGACUCUGGCUAUGAAACCUGAAGAUGUGUGACCACCCUGCGGCCCACAUGAGAGAAGACUCCUGGAGGUUGUCCUCUGGCCUCCACUAGUGUGCAUGGCCCUCACUACCACCAUCACACUCACUGGAUUAAUUUAGUAAACUCUACGGCAGUGUAUAACUUCGUAUACAGCACGUGUGUGAAUGUUUGUGUGUGGGUGCACGUGCACAUUUUUGUUACUGUGUUGAGACCCAGGUCAAUUGCUGGCUCUUAUGCAAGUCUUCUUAAGCUCAGAGUUCCAGACUUUCUCACCCUACACUCCAAGACUUCUUAUCCUCUGUAUUACUAAAAUCUUUCCGCUGGAUACUUCUUUUGGGGGAAGGGGGUAAGCAAACAUCCUUCCUCCCUCAAGAUUCCAGAUGGCUUCUCUUCUUAGGUAUUUUGAAAUCCAGAUCUUCAGAAGAGAGACUGGCAGAAUCACUGCAGCAAGUGGAGGUCCCAUCAAGAUCUGGAAAAGAUACUCUGAGGGAUAUCCUCCAAAAGACUAGCAAGUAUAAAGAAGAGGUGGGAGGGUGAAUUGAAAGGUCUCAAAAAGUAACUGAAACUCCUACAGCAACAAGGCACGGAAGUAACAAGGAAGUCAGCAGGAGAUUUUGUACAGGAGGGGGUUUAAAUGUUGCAGACUGGGAACAAGCCAAGUCAGAUUAAAAGGAGUAUGUGUUUCUUCAUCCCCAGAGAUGCUUUGAGGGAUGCCCUCUGGAAGACUGGCCAGUAGGGAACUAAUAAAGAGGAGACAGGAGGGUGAAUUGAGGGCCCCCAAAAGAUAGAAAGUGUACAGAUGUAUGUUAUUGUAUUGAUUGUGUUGUCUUUUGUGUUCUGUACUGGAGAAAGACAUUUGAUUCUGGGAACUGCUAAGAAAGGUAUUUUGACUUUAAAAUAUGGGCCUAAGGAUUUAAUGCUUUGGAAAAGAGGUUCUGCUUUUGUCUCCACAGAGGAUGAGAACCUGUGGAUUCAUUGCAAAUUUAUGUGGUUUGAAUCACGGAGACCCCCCUGAAAUGUUGAUGUAAAAUACCCCCCUGCAAGAAUGCAGCACCUCUGCUCAGCAGGAAGUAGCCAGACAGGUUGACAACACCCAAAUUCCCUAAAAGAUUGUUAAAGUGGGGCCCCUUCAAUGGUUCUGGAGCAGGAGCAGCGAGCCUGCUUCCCUGAGUUCUCUCCGCUCCAUGCAGCAGUUUGGACCGAGAGAGAGCGUGUCUGGGGCCGGAAGGCAGCUGGAGCAGAGUUUUGAUAGAUGGCUGUGGCAAAAGGUAUGUUGCCCUGGCCCAGUCGGUGCCUUGCCUGGGGGACACCAUGAUGAUGUCAGGAGUAUCAGCAAAUAUGGCAACAAGUGCUGAACCAUAGAAGAUCGGCAGAAGUUCCCAGACUGUGCAGGCCCCUGAGACUGUCAACCAGCUAGCUAAAAGAGUCAGCAAUGCUUUGGACAUUCAAAAUGAUCUUAAUGGACAUAUUCAACUGGGCAUAUUGACCUUGAACCAACAAGUGGCUCUGGUUCAGAAGCAAGUGAACUGUCUGGACUUUUCAACUGCUAACAUGUACCAGCUUUUAUCAUGUUAUGUGCAUUACUCAUGGCACUGUAUUGCAUGCUUCUGCUACUGUUAUGGAACUCAACUGUCAUAUGAGAGGGGUUUGGAAUACUGCUUUUGUUAAUUUUACCACCCAGUUAGUGCAUGCUAGAUGGUUGCAGUGCUGGUCUAGCUCAUUGGCACUGUCAGUCCUGGCCAUACUUGGUUUAGGGCUAUGUGUCUGGUUAGCCACGGAUGGGCAAUACUUUGGUAUAGUGAUAAUGCGAGCAGGCCUGCUUUUUGUCCCGCCUGGCUCCCGCAUGGCUAGCUUUAUACCCGAAAUAACAACACACAAAUUGUAUUCAUUUCAACACUGCCUGGCCCAUUAGCUCUAGCCUCUU